rnacentral:rRNA from 1 species
GAGUUUGAUCCUGGCUCAGGAUGAACGCUAGCGGCAGGCCUAAUACAUGCAAGUCGAACGGGAUCGGGGGCUUCGGUCCCCGUGAGAGUGGCGCACGGGUGCGUAACGCGUGAGCAACCUGCCCGUCCCAGGGGGAUAGCCCGGAGAAAUCCGGAUUAAUACCGCAUGAGAAUGCAGGUCCGCAUGGGCCUUCAUUUAAAUAUUCAUAGGGGACGGAUGGGCUCGCGUGACAUUAGCUGGUUGGCGGGGUAACGGCCCACCAAGGCGACGAUGUCUAGGGGCUCUGAGAGGAGAAACCCCCACACUGGUACUGAGACACGGACCAGACUCCUACGGGAGGCAGCAGUAAGGAAUAUUGGUCAAUGGGGGGAACCCUGAACCAGCCAUGCCGCGUGCAGGAAGACGGCCCUACGGGUUGUAAACUGCUUUUGCACGGGAAUAACCCCCGGUAUGUAUACCGGGCUGAAUGUACCGUGAGAAUAAGGAUCGGCUAACUCCGUG